rfam:Schistosoma curassoni strain Dakar, Senegal genome assembly, scaffold: SCTD_scaffold0004136
GUCUAGCUGAUAAGACCCAGAUAGGACGAAACGCGCGUCAUGGAU